GAUGAACGCUGGCGGCGUGCCUCAAACAUGCAAGUCGAGCGGGGCUAUGUAAUAUCGCAAGGUAGAACAUAACCUAGCGGCGAACGGGUGAGUAACACGUGGGUAACCUGCCUGGAAGACAGGGAUAACGAUUCGAAAGGGUCGCUAAUACCUGAUAAUAUCCUUUCAUCGCAUGGUGAUAGGAAGAAAGGGGAAACCCGCUUUCAGAUGGGCCCGCGUCCCAUCAGCUAGUUGGUAAGGUAAAGGCUUACCAAGGCGACGACGGGUAGCCGGUCUGAGAGGAUGUACGGCCACACUGGGACUGAGAUACGGCCCAGACUCCUACGGGAGGCAGCAGUUGGGAAUCUUAGGCAAUGGACGAAAGUCUGACCUAGCGACGCCGCGUGAGGGAAGAAGGCCUUCGGGUUGUAAACCUCUGUCAUGGGGGAAGAAGUAAGUGACGGUACCCCAAGAGGAAGCCCCUGCUAACUACGUG
rnacentral:rRNA from 1 species